CAAAAACAAAAAGAUCCAAAAUGAAAUAUUGAUUUUGAAAAGCAGCAUUAACUGCUGUAUCCCUUUAUACUUUCUCUCCUUUUCAAAGAAACCAGCUCCAGAUUUUCAUGAGCCCCUCCAAGAAAGAACCUUCUAUGCUCCUCACUGCCCAAACAAGAGAUCUGCCCCUUCUGACCAACAGUGCGCCAUUUUUCAUUUCUACAUUCCUUAAUCUACACUCCUUGCUGAUCUCCCAAACACCAGAAGAACCGUAAAUGGAGGGGAAUAGGAUCAUGCUGGAUGUUGGGCCUGGCUCAAUGCCUUCAACCAUGCAUGGAUCCCAGCAACUGCCAAACCUUGCAGAAUUUUGGGCAACAGCACAAGCCCCUGUGGCUCCCAUCAUGAAGACAGGAGACAGCAUACUUCCCAGAUGUCUGAAAUUAACAUGACUCAUGAAGAAGUCCACUCAUCCCUGCCUGAAGGGAACAACGGCACUUACCUUCACAUGUCACCAUUGGUCCCGGCUCAAACCCUUCCUCACAGAUAUGAUAUACUUCUGAAGAAGAUUGUUUCGAAACUGGCGGGAUAACCUAGGACACCGAUAAAGGGAUUUAUAUUUCCAGUUUGUGAAGAAUGAAGACAUGUUUUGGCAUCUCUGGCUUCGAAGUACUUUGCAUGUUCUGUACUCCAGCUGUGAAUAUUUGGUCUUGAACUUUUUGUACAUUCACAUUUUCUACCUGUUGUAUUUUUGCAUUUGUUGUAUUUUGCUGUGACCAGUUGUAUAUUUUGUAUGUUCAUAGACAUUCUUUAUGUGUAUGUUUAAUAUAUUUUGACCUUGCUUAA